UGGGGAAUCUUGGACAAUGGGCGCAAGCCUGAUCCAGCAAUGCCGCGUGGGUGAAGACGGCCUGCGGGUUGUAAAGCCCUUUUCGCCGGGAAGAAGGCCCUGGGUUGAACAGGCUCAGGGGGUGACGUUACCGGCGGAAGAAGCACCGGCCAACUCCGUGCCAGCAGCCGCGGUAAUACGGAGGGUGCGAGCGUUAAUCGGAAUUACUGGGCGUAAAGCGCGCGUAGGUGGUCAGUUAAGUCCGUUGUGAAAGCCCUGGGCUCAACCUGGGAACGGCAAGGGAGACUGACUGGCUAGAGUGUAACAGAGGACCGUGGAAUUCCCGGUGUAGCGGUGAAAUGCGUAGAGAUCGGGAAGAACACCGAUGGCGAAGGCAGCGGUCUGGGUUAACACUGACGCUGAGGUGCGAAAGCGUGGGGAGCAAACAGG
rnacentral:rRNA from 1 species